UACGUAGGGGGGCAAGCGUUGUCCGGAUUUAUUGGGCGUAAAGAGCGUGUAGGCGGCCAGGUAGGUCGGUUGUGAAAACUGGAGGCUUAACCUCCAGACGUCGACCGAAACCAUCUGGCUAGAGUCCGGAAGAGGAGAGUGGAAUUCCUGGUGUAGCGGUGAAAUGCGCAGAUAUCAGGAAGAACACCCGUGGCGAAAGCGGCUCUCUGGGACGGUACUGACGCUGAGACGCGAAAGCGUGGGGAGCGAACAGG
rnacentral:rRNA from 1 species